UGGCUGAAUUUAAUCACCAAGGGAUGAGGAAGGCUACAAAAUGUGUCUACCUGUAUUCUGUGAGGAGAACGUGUUCCCUGGUUUUAGAUACUGUGAAGAUGGAUCAGGAGAGAGUUUAUCUAGACUGUUGGGGAAAGGUGUUGCGAUUCCUUCAGCUACACAGGAUUGAAAGGAGACAUUUCUGAAGGGGAAAAAGGAAAUGAAAGAAAAGAUGUUUCAGAUUGAGGAUAUGCUGUGUGGUGAACUUGUUCUUCACUCUGUAGGGUUCACAAAUGACUCUUCACUGCCCUCUUGGAUGAAAUAAACUGGUUCCCAUAGAAAUGGACCGUCUCUGAUUUCACAGUCUAGAGCACACAAAUAACUCAACUUUCUGGAAGCAAGGGUGAUGGCUCGUGAGAGCUCAAGGACAAGGAGGAGUCUGUAGAAGCACACCUGGACUCGGGGAAAUCAUUGACCUCUCAUCCUGAAUUAAGUAGCGCUUGAAAAGACUCUCUUUGAAUCAGAAAAAUAAUGCGAGCUCCUAUCAAACUACCUUACACAGCCAACUGAGUGAUCAUAGGCUUGGGUGGAAAAAAUGUAAUUCGUAGAACCUUUUAAGAGCUAAGAUUCCUUAAUCAACAUGGAUACCGUCUUGUUGAAUGACACCGAACUGUGCUGCGCAGGAUUCGGUUGCAUGGUGGCUGGAGCUGCCUCUCUGGGACCCAAAUCUCAGACCUGCUGCAAAGUGACUAUAUGAUCUGCAACUUGCUAACCCUUCUAGGCUUUUGUUUUAUUAUUUACAUAAUGAAGUGAGGGGAAUAUGUUCCUUGUAAAUUUGUUAAGAGGAUUAAAUUAGUUCAUGUCAAAUGAUUUAGAACACUGUCUGCCACAUAUUAAGGACUCAACAAAUACUACCUAUUAUUAACAAUGUGCCCUAAAUCUGUAAAUCACUCAAUAAUACAUGGCAUUAGGCUAAAUAUGGAAGGUAGAAGGAAAUAAAUUGUCCAGAAGCUAAAAAUAUGAAAGACUCUUCAUAUAUUUAAAAUAUUUUCUUUAAUUCUUUUGUUUUUUUCUUUUUUGAGACAGAGUCUCGCUCCGUCACCCAGGCUGGAGUGCAGUGGCAUGUUCUCGGCUCGCUGCAGCCUCUGCUUCCUGGAUUCAAGUGAUUCUCCUUCCUCAGCCUCCCAAGUAGCUGGAAUUACAGGCAUGUGCCAACAUGCCGAGCUAAUUUUUUUAUUUUUUGUAGAGAUGGGGUUUCACCAUGUUGCCCAGGCUGGUUUCAAACUCCUGACCUCAAGUGAGCCACCCACCUUGGCCUUCCAAAGUGCUGAGAUUACAGGCUUGAGUCACUGUGCCCAGCCUGAAAUAUCUUCUUCACAUCUUUUCAUAUGCAUAUUUGUUUUUACAAGUACAUAAAUAUACAUUUUUGAUAUAACUUGGAAUCUUGCAUUUUCUAACUCAAUGUCUAACUAAGCCGCAGAACAGGAUGUUGAAUCCAGCACAUUGCAAUACUUGCCUAUCAACAGAGGACAUGCAUAAGGUCACUG
rnacentral:lncRNA from 1 species